GUGUUGGAUGAAAGGAGAGAAGAUCAGCACUCCCUUUGAAAAGGAUGGAAGAGGCCCUUGGGGCCUGUAAAAAAUGCAUACACUGCCACCUACUUUGUGGCAUCUAACCAUGUUU